rfam:Nematostella vectensis strain CH2 x CH6 NEMVEscaffold_39_Cont6463, whole genome shotgun sequence.
GGCUCAGUGGUCUAGUGGUAUGAUUCUCGCUUUGGGUGCGAGAGGCCACGUGUUCGAUUCCCGUCUGAGCCC